CUCACAUUUUUCUCCCAAUUCACUCUAAGAUCAAACACUACUCUCUCAACUUUUUCCCCAAAUUGUUCAAGAACAAAAAUCAACAAAACUUCAAAAACUUCAAUUCUUCUCCCUUCUUUCUCUAAUCACCACCGCUUCUCACUCUGCAAGCUAGCUUAUGCGUCAAUUCCAGUCACUCCCUCAGUUAUCGCGCAAUCUCUGAUCACAUCUCCUCCAUGCAAAUACAUCGCAGUUGCUCCCUCCAUCGUCUCCACAUUUGUUUCAGGCGAGAUCUCCCUCUUUUCUGUGCAUUUUCCGGCCAGCACCGGUGUUCCUCUGAUUUCGUGCGCUUUUCCGGUUUCUCCUCUUUGCAUCAAUCCUAUAAUUCACUUUAAUUGCACUUGU